CUUUCUCCCAGAUACAUAGAUAUAUAGACACACACACCACACACACUCUUACACAAUGUGAGACACACACAUGUUCACACUGUGAGAUGCACAGAAAUACACAAUUUGAGACACAUGCAACCACAAAUACAUAUUGCAACGCACAGAGAUACACACUGCCACAUCACACACAGAUACACAGACUUACAUAAAGACAGACACUGCCAGACACACAUACAUAUAAAUACUGCAAGAUACAC